UUUUCACUCCAAAGGAAAUUUUUUGAAAAAUCAGCUGUACCUUCCAUAUUUCGCUGUACUUCGAAUUCUAUCAGUCCACGAAUGUUGAGAUUAGAAAAAAGGAAUGGUAAACGUGAUUUGAAGCCAGUUAGUAGUGAAUCAUCUGAAAUUUUCGAAGAUAAAGAUAACCAGCUUCCUCUCAAUGAUAUAAAUUAUCUAGACCUCCAACAAGAAAUUGCCUCAGAAGUUACUUUCCACCCCGAGGAAGAUAAUCCUGAUUAGGAAAGCCACCUAAUCAGCCAGUCCACACAAACAACAACUUUAUUCAGAAUAUUUUGCAAUGAUGAAUUUCUAAUGAACAAAAAAUCUGUUCUUUAUUAUACAGGUCUCUCUUGAGAGAUAUUCUCGAAAUUAAAAUGUCUAUCAUAA